rnacentral:rRNA from 1 species
CUGGCGGCGUGCCUAACACAUGCAAGUCGUACGAGAAAGUCGGCUUCGGCUGAUGAGUAAAGUGGCGCACGGGUGAGUAACGCGUGGAUAAUCUGCCUUUAGUUGGGAAUAACGUACCGAAAGGUGCGCUAAUACCGGAUAAUACUGCAUAACUACUGUUGUGUAGUCAAAGAAGGCCUCUGUUUACAAGCUUUUGCUGAAAGAUGAGUCCGCGUACCAUUAGCUAGUUGGUAGGGUAAAGGCUCACCAAGGCGACGAACCGUAGCGGGUCUGAGAGGAUGAUCCGCCACACUGGGACUGAGACACGGCCCAGACUCCUACGGGAGGCAGCAGUGGGGAAUUUUGGACAAUGGGCGCAAGCCUGAUCCAGCCAUGCCGCGUGAGUGAAGAAGGCCUUCGGGUUGUAAAGCUCUUUCGGUGGGGAAGAAAUUGCACAGGAUAAUACCCUGUGUGGAUGACGGUACCGGAAGAAGAAGCACCGGCUAACUACGUG